GAUGAAGAACGUAGCGAAAUGCGAUAAGUAAUGUGAAUUGCAGAAUUCAGUGAAUCAUCGAAUCUUUGAACGCACAUUGCGCCCUUUGGUAUUCCAAAGGGCAUGCCUGUUCGAGCGUCAUUUGUACCUUCAAGCUUUGCUUGGUGUUGGGCGUUUUUUGUCUCCCUCUUUCUGGGAGACUCGCCUUAAAACGAUUGGCAGCCGGCCUACUGGUUUCGGAGCGCAGCACAUAUUUUGCGCUUUGUAUCAGGAGAAAAGGACGGUAAUCCAUCAAGACUCUACAUUUUUAACUUUUGACCUCGGAUCAGGUAGGGAUACCCGCUGAACUUAAGCAUAUCAAUAAGCGGAGGA
rnacentral:misc_RNA from 1 species